rnacentral:rRNA from 1 species
GAUGAGCCCAGCUUGCUGGGUGGAUUAGUGGCGAACGGGUGAGUAACACGUGAGCAACCUGCCCCUGACUCUGGGAUAACAGCCGGAAACGGUUGCUAAUACCGGAUAUGCAUCAUGGCCGCAUGGUCUGUGGUGGGAAAGAUUUUUCGGUUGGGGAUGGGCUCGCGGCCUAUCAGCUUGUUGGUGAGGUAGUGGCUCACCAAGGCGUCGACGGGUAGCCGGCCUGAGAGGGUGACCGGCCACACUGGGACUGAGACACGGCCCAGACUCCUACGGGAGGCAGCAGUGGGGAAUAUUGCACAAUGGGCGGAAGCCUGAUGCAGCAACGCCGCGUGAGGGAUGACGGCCUUCGGGUUGUAAACCUCUUUUAGCAGGGAAGAAGCGAAAGUGACGGUACCUGCAGAAAAAGCGCCGGCUAACUACGUGCCAGCAGCCGCGGUAAUACGUAGGGCGCAAGCGUUAUCCGGAAUUAUUGGGCGUAAAGAGCUCGUAGGCGGUUUGUCGCGUCUGCUGUGAAAACCCGAGGCUCAACCUCGGGCCUGCAGUGGGUACGGGCAGACUAGAGUGCGGUAGGGGAGAUUGGAAUUCCUGGUGUAGCGGUGGAAUGCGCAGAUAUCAGGAGGAACACCGAUGGCGAAGGCAGAUCUCUGGGCCGUUACUGACGCUGAGGAGCGAAAGGGGUGGGGAGCAAAACAGGCUUAGAUACCCUGGUAGUCCACCCCGUAAACGUUGGGAAACUAGUUGUGGGGGGCCUUUUCCACGGUCUCCCGUGACGCAGCUAACGCAUUAAGUUCCCCGCCUGGGGAGUACGGCCGCAAGGCUAAAACUCAAAGGAAUUGACGGGGACCCGCACAAGCGGCGGAGCAUGCGGAUUAAUUCGAUGCAACGCGAAGAACCUUACCAAGGCUUGACAUACACCGGAAACGUCUGGAAACAGUCGCCCCUUUUUGGUCGGUGUACAGGUGGUGCAUGGUUGUCGUCAGCUCGUGUCGUGAGAUGUUGGGUUAAGUCCCGCAACGAGCGCAACCCUCGUUCUAUGUUGCCAGCACGUCAUGGUGGGAACUCAUGGGAUACUGCCGGGGUCAACUCGGAGGAAGGUGGGGAUGACGUCAAAUCAUCAUGCCCCUUAUGUCUUGGGCUUCACGCAUGCUACAAUGGCCGGUACAAAGGGCUGCAAUACCGUGAGGUGGAGCGAAUCCCAAAAAGCCGGUCCCAGUUCGGAUUGAGGUCUGCAACUCGACCUCAUGAAGUCGGAGUCGCUAGUAAUCGCAGAUCAGCAACGCUGCGGUGAAUACGUUCCCGGGUCUUGUACACACCGCCCGUCAAGUCAUGAAAGUCGGUAACACCUGAAGCCGGUGGCCUAACCCCUUGUGGGAGGGAGCCUGUCGAAAAGGUGAAAUUUG